rnacentral:rRNA from 1 species
AUUGAACGCUGGCGGCAUGCUUUACACAUGCAAGUCGAACGGCAGCGCGGGCUUCGGCCUGGCGGCGAGUGGCGAACGGGUGAGUAAUGCAUCGGAACGUGCCCAGUAGUGGGGGAUAGCCCGGCGAAAGCCGGAUUAAUACCGCAUACGACCUGAGGGUGAAAGCGGGGGACCGAAAGGCCUCGCGCUAUUGGAUCGGCCGAUGGCGGAUUAGCUAGUUGGUGGGGUAAAGGCUUACCAAGGCGACGAUCCGUAGCUGGUCUGAGAGGCCGACCAGCCACACUGGGACUGAGACACGGCCCAGACUCCUACGGGAGGCAGCAGUGGGGAAUUUUGGACAAUGGGGGCAAGCCUGAUCCAGCCAUGCCGCGUGCGGGAAGAAGGCCUUCGGGUUGUAAACCGCUUUUGUUCGGGAAGAAAUCCUCUGGGCUAAUACCCCGGGGGGAUGACGGUACCGGAAGAAUAAGCACCGGCUAACUACGUG